GCAGUCGUGGCCUAAUGGUCAGAGAGUAGGACUUGUAACCCGAAGGUGAACCCGAAGGUUGUGGGUUCGAUUCUCGCGUCCGGCA